rnacentral:sRNA from 1 species
CAAGAGGUUCGACUCGAGCGCAGCGAGAGAACGUUGCGUCAGCAACGGCCCGCAGGGCGAGCCACGCAGUGGCGAGUCAUCCUCUAUCACCGACCA